ensembl:misc_RNA Y_RNA Y RNA
AGCUGGUCUGUGCAGUGUUGUUUACAACUAAUUGAUCACAGCCAGUUACAUUCCUUUGCUCCUUCUCCACUUCCACUGUUUUACUUGACUAGCAAAAA